rnacentral:rRNA from 1 species
UACGGAGGGGGCGAGCGUUGUCCGAAGUUACUGGGCGUAAAGCGCGCGUAGGCGGGUUGCCAAGUCCGCUGUGAAAGCCCGAGGCUCAACCUCGGAGGGUCGGUGGAUACUGGCAGUCUUGAAGUUGCUAGGGGGAGAUGGAAUUACCGGUGUAGCGGUGAAAUGCGUAGAGAUCGGUAGGAACACCAGUGGCGAAGGCGGUUACCUGGAGCUUUGCUGACGCUGAUGCGCGAAAGCGUGGGGAGCGAUCCGG